rnacentral:lncRNA from 1 species
GUCCUGGAUCUGGACCCAUAGAGGUCCAGAGCACCUCAUUACCAAAGCUUUAUAUGCAUCCAUGGAGGUUUUGGCUUGGGAUCAAUGUAUUUGAGGCUAAAACACCAUUCAUGAGCUAUUCAAUGCUUGAUGAGCAUCAAGACUUGGACUUUACGUGGUCAAUAAGCUUAAGGAGACUGGAUCUAUGAGUUAGUGAAGCGGAUCUGACCUCAGAAGGUCGUUUGGGGUUGUGCAUGGAAUGCACUCGCCGAGUCCAUUCCCCAGACUCGGCGAGUUGGUGCGGGUUGUUCAACGAUUACGAACCAGGGGUUGAGUAACCGAGUCGGGUGAGUGACUCGGUGAGUCGGAAGAGAUUCAGAGGGAUCGGGUUCCCGUAGGAACUCGGCGAGUCCACGCCAGACUCGGCGAGUCGGGUUGACCGUUGACCGUUGACCAGUGUUGACUGGUUUGACUUCGUGGUAUUAGUCAGCCAGAGUCAAGUAGUAUUAAGUAGAAAUACACUUGUGUUGUAGGAGGACGAUAGCUCGGGAGAUCGAGCACUAGUGGUUAAGAGAUUUAUGAGUUACCGAGACACGCGAGGUGAGUCUUCUCACUCUACGUUACCUUGAGUGGUAUUCUGGUUUGGCCAGAGGGUCUUAUGUGUUAUUUAUGAGAUUGUAUGCUAUGUGUUAUUUGUAUGUUGUAUGACUAUAUAGAUCGGACCGGAGGCUCCAACGAUUCAGGACGGGCCAGAGGGCCCAAUUAGCUAUGACUGGACCAGAAGGUCCGACGAGCUGCGGGACUGGAGGGUCCCGCUGAGACAUCUUGACCAGAGGGUCGGGUUUAGCCUCGAGUGGCGUAUUUGUGGUAUGUGGUAUUUUGGGGAACUCACUAAGCAUUAUGCUUACAGUUGUUGUGUUUGAUGUCUCAGGU